GACCUCAGGUCAGGCGGGGCUACCCGCUGAAUUUAAGCAUAUCAAUAAGCGGAGGAAAAGAAACUAACAAGGAUUCCCUUAGUAACGGCGAGCGAACCGGGAUAAGCCCACCAUGAGAAUCGGUCGCCCUCGGCGUUCAAAUUGUACUCUGGAAAAAAGCCACAA
rnacentral:rRNA from 1 species